UGCACAUGUACAUAGGCGCGGGAAGUGGGGGUGCUGGGGGUGCUGCAGCACCCCCUGGUGGCGAAUCUUUUAAACUGUGAUGACAAUAAAAUGAUAGCUUAUAAAUAUCUCUGGUUGUUGUUUCUGUUCCAGGACAUUUUGUAUGUCAUGUUUGGGGUGUGUAGGAUGAAGAGAGGGAUAAUUUUAAAAGUAUUUAAUUUAAUUCA